GAGGAUGUCGACGCGGUUGUAAGUCCGGAGAGUGUAGUCUACCAGCUCCUCUACCUGCUUCUCGUCCCGGACAUCACAGUGCUUGUAUGUACAUUUCUCAGGCAGGCCGAUGGAGGCAGCGACUGAGUGGCCGAGAUCGUCUUGGACGUCGGCGAUGACGAUUAUGGCACCUUGGGAGGCAAAGAGCCUGGCGGCAGCUUCGCCGAUCCCGCUGGCUGCUCCGGUGAUGAUGGCCACCUUGCCAUCUAGCCUUGGCUUUGG
rnacentral:misc_RNA from 1 species